ensembl:lncRNA
AAUUGUGGCACAUGGAGGUCUGGGAACAUUUGGGGCACAAAUUUAAGCCUCAGCCGAAUCAGCUGAUGGAGCCCAGGAUCCCCUAAAACCCCGAGUGGCAUCCAGAGACCGCUGCAGAACCAGGCCCUCACUCCAAGCCCAGUGCCCUUGCGGCCCACAGCGGCGCGUGUCAACAUUUCAGAAACCACUCAAAAGCUUUUCACCUCAGAUGCUCUGCCUAUAGGAUCCAGUGGCUAAAAUGCCUUGAACAUUGGAUGUUUGUUUAGAGGACCAGACUCAGAGAAACAUGCAUACAGCUUUGGCAGAUCAUCUGCAAAUCUGGAUAUCUUGGAGAAGAAGCAAGAAAGAUGUCCAACCUAUUCUUGAGCUCCAGCCUAACAUUUGGUUAUUUGUUCUUUAUCCAAA